rnacentral:rRNA from 1 species
GAUGAACGCUGGCGGCGUGCCUAACACAUGCAAGUCGAGCGAACAGAUGAUGUGCUUGCUCCUCUGACGUUAGCGGCGGACGGGUGAGUAACAUAUGGAUAACCGACCUCUAUGACGGGGAUAAAUUCGUGAAACGGUAGCCUAUUCCGGAAAAUAUCUUGAGCCGGAUGGUUCAAGAGCGCAAGACGGUAUUGCUGUCACUCAUAGAUGGACCCGCGCCGCAUUAGCUAGUUGGUAAGGUAACGGCUUACCAAGGCAACGAUUCGUAGCCGACCUGAGAGGGUGAUCGGCCACACUGGAACUGAGACACGGUCCAGACUCCUACGGGAGGCAGCAGUAGGGAAUCUUCCGCAAUGGGCGAAAGCCUGACGGAGCAACGCCGCGUGAGUGAUGAAGGUCUUCGGAUCGUAAAACACUGUUGUUAGGGAAGAACAAGUGUGUAAGAAACUAUGCGCUUCUUGACGGUACCUGAACAAAAAGCCACGGCUAACUACGUG